GGGAAUGUGGCUUAGUGGUAGAGAGCUUGCCUUGCAUGCAUGAAGUCCUAGGUUCAUCUCCUCAGUACCA
rnacentral:tRNA from 1 species